rnacentral:rRNA from 1 species
UAAGGUAGCGAAAUUCCUUGUCGGGUAAGUUCCGACCUGCACGAAUGGCGUAACGAUGGCGGCGCUGUCUCCACCCGAGACUCAGUGAAAUUGAAAUCGCUGUGAAGAUGCAGUGUAUCCGCGGCUAGACGGAAAGACCCCGUGAACCUUUACUAUAGCUUUGCACUGGACUUUGAAUUUGCUUGUGUAGGAUAGGUGGGAGGCUUUGAAGCGUGGACGCCAGUUCGCGUGGAGCCAUCCUUGAAAUACCACCCUGGCAACUUUGAGGUUCUAACUCAGGUCCGUUAUCCGGAUCGAGGACAGUGUAUGGUGGGUAGUUUGACUGGGGCGGUCUCCUCCUAAAGAGUAACGGAGGAGUACGAAGGUGCGCUCAGACCGGUCGGAAAUCGGUCGUAGAGUAUAAAGGCAAAAGCGCGCUUGACUGCGAGACAGACACGUCGAGCAGGUACGAAAGUAGGUCUUAGUGAUCCGGUGGUUCUGUAUGGAAGGGCCAUCGCUCAACGGAUAAAAGGUACUCCGGGGAUAACAGGCUGAUACCGCCCAAGAGUUCAUAUCGACGGCGGUGUUUGGCACCUCGAUGUCGGCUCAUCACAUCCUGGGGCUGAAGCCGGUCCCAAGGGUAUGGCUGUUCGCCAUUUAAAGUGGUACGCGAGCUGGGUUUAGAACGUCGUGAGACAGUUCGGUCCCUAUCUGCCGUGGACGUUUGAGAUUUGAGAGGGGCUGCUCCUAGUACGAGAGGACCGGAGUGGACGAACCUCUGGUGUUCCGGUUGUCACGCCAGUGGCAUUGCCGGGUAGCUAUGUUCGGAAGAGAUAACCGCUGAAAGCAUCUAAGCGGGAAACUUGCCUCAAGAUGAGAUCUCACUGGAGCCUUGAGCUCCCUGAAGGGCCGUCGAAGACUACGACGUUGAUAGGUUGGGUGUGUAAGCGCUGUGAGGCGUUGAGCUAACCAAUACUAAUUGCCCGUGAGGCUUGACCAU